CGGUACCUAUUUUUGAAGAACCGAACUUGUGCAGGAAUCGAAGAACCGAACCGAUCGGUUCGGUUAGUACCGAAUGCCCAAGCUUAGUAGGACUAGAAGUCUAGAACUAGCUGCAGUAGCAUAGCAGGUAAGAGUUGUGGACUAAUUUCUGGAACAUGGAGCAAUAUAAUGUUAGCACUCAUCACGUCUCCUUUUUCUAUUUGAUAUAACAUGAGGAGUAACUUCUAACGUAAUCUAUUUGGUAGAUACUAAUAUUUAUAUAUAUAUCUGAGCAAUAGUCACUGCACUAGCUUGCGAGCUGGAUCGAGCCAAGCCGAGCUGGCUUUUCUACUUGUUAACGAGCUAAGUCGAGCUGGCUUGUUUAGAUAAUGAGAUGAAGCGAGCCGAGUCAAGCCGGCUCAUUUUCCAGCCCUACUUUAUUAUCGUAUUGGUUUACAAUGAUAUUCGUUACGCAUCUCCUUCUACUAAAGAAAAAUAUAUACUUACAGAAUAUACAAUUAGAUAAUAGCUUUACUCAAUUAUUGAAUUUUAAAUUGUCAUGUAUUGCUACAUGGACUCCAGUAUACCACACUUAGAAAAAAACAAGAUUUGAGAACCCGUCUUAAUGUCUCAUGAACUAUCUCCUUGAUUGUUCAUGCCACUCAUACACCAGACCCCUAUGGUUUCCAUGUGGCAAAAUUGUUUAUAAGAGAGCACUAGUUACUAGUCAUUGUUACUUUUUGAUGAUGUGUUAGUCUACUUUCCCUUUGUUACUCAUUACUCUAUUUUCUUUCAUUUUUAAAAAUGAUGGUACUAGAUUCAUCAUGAAACCAACUACCAUAACAUGUAUCUUUUUCUAUUUGAAAUAACAUAUUUUUAGAUAUCUUGUUGGUCAAAAAUGAAAAGAUUUGGCUUCAGAGAAACCUAAAUGCAGCUAUAUUUUUGUAUGGAAGGAGUAUGCUACUAAUAGAUAGCUAUCUUCAUAACUCAUCACUAUUCCGCAUUUUGCCAAAAUGAUUAUCCCUAGACAAGGCAUCUAGUGCCAAAAUGUCUUCCCAGCAAGCUUUGAAAAAUAUUUCUUUUCAGAACUUCCUGUUCAAGAAUCAGUUCCGCACAUGUCAAUAGAAAGAAGACAAUGAUAUGCACUACAUCGUCUAAAAAACAUGCUCAAGUUGACUUGUCAUUUCAUGGCCAAUGAUGUGGAUGAAGCCUCAGCUAUUAGUGAGAGAGGUUGGCGAGCUUGGAGGCAGGCAACAAUAUCAAAAGGGUGUGGAUGGUUGUUCUUCAGAGAUGGAUCUUGUUGCAGCCUCAUAUACGGGAGUGAGUGCGUAUGACCUAUCAAAAUUCGAAAGGAUGACAACGUGUCAAUAACAAAAACAGGAUUGCAUGAAUCUUAGUGAAAAUUAUACAACAAAUCUUCCUGAUGUUCUUUAAUCCCAUAAGAUGGUACCUGAGGAUGCUGCCAUCAAAGCUCAGAACUUCAGUGAAACAUCUAAGGCGUUUUGUGGGUUUAGCUAUAUCUUGUUUAGAUGGGGAACCAGGAUGAGUGGGCGAUGGUGGAUCAUGGAAUGGACUCCAUUUACUGCUUACAAUUUUCACUAGUUUGCGUGGCGAGUUAUUUUUUGAGCCUCCUCGCUGAUUGAAUAGCCUUGCUGUUGGACCAGUUGCUUGAUACUCGGUGCAUAGUUCUCUUAAUGUCUUUCUCACAUUCUGCAUUGUCUCAUAAUAUUCUGUGAUAUCUCCUUUUUGAAGCAUUUUUGACUCAACCACCCUUUCACAUAUUUUUUCACAUAAUUUUGGACUGAACAAAGGGAUACCAAAUUCUAUGCUCAAUGGUAUCCAUUCGUAACUUUCAUACUCAGGAAUUUCACUGAAUUCAUUAACCCUAUGAAGCCUUACUAAAUGAAGGUAACCAACUAUGCUCAAAUCAACCUUACUGGAUAGAUCAUCCAAUAAUAAAAUCAAAUUUGAUACUUGUUUCUUAGGCAAGUCAUCGCCUACUAUAGUGGAUGAAAUUGACCCAUCAGCAUUUUUCAAUGGCAAUGGGAUAUCCAUGGUGAUAAUAUUUCCUGUUUCAUCUAGAUCAUCUAUGCUUAGUGGUUGCACUAUCACAGCAGAAUAUUUUGUCAUUGAGUUCAAGUAAUGCAAUAGAAGAUUUCCUUUCACUAAAUUCCCUUCAAACUUUCCUCCUAGUCCACCCACCACAGAUUGAUCCCAAGACCAUAUCAAUGCCUUCUCACAGCUAGCUAAUGGUUCGGGCAACAACCUCAAUCGUUGCCCCUUCAUAAAAACUACUGAUAUUGGGCCACAACUCCCUGACGUAUACAGUGCCAAUUUCAUCCAUGGUGUCAUUGAUGAGUAAGAAGGUGGACCAAAAUGUACCAAGCCAUUCGGACAGGGUAGAAAUGCUGAAUAUGGAAGAGGAAUCAUAGACACUAUCAUAUCAUAGUCCCUGGAAAGUAGUCUUUCUAGUGUUGAUGGGGCUAGAGAAGCUAAACUCUCGCAACGAAGAAUAUUGACUCGAUAACUUCUUUUACUCUUCAACAAAGAGCAGCAACCAGUUGAACCAUCAAACUUUGUAGCAUGAUUGUUACCAAAUUCAUACUUAAGUAUGUUUUCCUUGCCUUCAGAUACAAUAGUUGAGGGUGAUGACAUCUUCCAAUCUGCAAUUUCAGAAUCUCCCUUUUGUU